rnacentral:rRNA from 1 species
AGAGUUUGAUUAUGGCUCAGGACGAACGCUGGCGGCGUGCUUAACACAUGCAAGUCGAACGAGAAGAGAUGAGAAGCUUGCUUCUUAUCGAUUCGAGUGGCAAACGGGUGAGUAACGCGUAAGCAACCUGCCCUCUAGAUGGGGACAACAGCUGGAAACGGCUGCUAAUACCGAAUACGUUCUUUCUGUCGCAUGGCAGAGGGAAGAAAGGGAGGCUCUUCGGAGCUUUCGCUGGAGGAGGGGCUUGCGUCUGAUUAGCUAGUUGGAGGGGUAACGGCCCACCAAGGCGACGAUCAGUAGCCGGUCUGAGAGGAUGAACGGCCACAUUGGGACUGAGACACGGCCCAG